CAAGCGGUGGAGCAUGUGGUUCAAUUCGACGCAACGCGAAAAACCUUACCUGGGCUCGAAAUGUAGUGGAAUCGGGUGGAAACAUCCGCGUCUCGCAAGAGACUGCUAUAUAGGUGCUGCAUGGCUGUCGUCAGCUCGUGUCGUGAGAUGUUGGGUUAAGUCCCGCAACGAGCGCAACCCUUAUCCCUAGUUGCCAUCGGGUCAAGCCGGGCACUCUAGUGAAACCGCGCGGGAUAACCGCGAGGAAGGUGGGGAUGACGUCAAGUCCUCAUGGCCUUUAUGUCCAGGGCUACACACGUGCUACAAUGGUCGGUACAAACCGUCGCGAGACCGCAAGGUGGAGCUAAUCGGAUAAAGUCUGUCUCAGUUCGGAUAGCAGGCUGCAACUCCCCCUGCUUGAGGUUGGAAUCGCUAGUAAUCGCGGAUCAGCACGCCGCGGUGAAUACGUUCCCGGGCCUUGUACACACC
rnacentral:rRNA from 1 species